UACCGCUUUAGUUUAGCUUGCGACAUUUGAAUGUUUAUAUGUAUUGGUAGCAGAGUAUAAAUAAAAAUGAGCGACGAAGCUGUAUUUGAAACAAUUGAAGAGGUCAAUAAGCAUAUCUCACACGUGGAAGAGUCAACCUGUGUGAAAUAUAUUUCUUACCGUGUGACCAAUGACCAAGAUAUUUCAGGAAACAGAUGGCAAGGAAAAAAUAAACCUGUUGCUGAAAACCAAGAAAGUAGCAUGCCCUGCUGUGUUCACAAUCAGCCGCAUUGUGAAGUUCCCUGGAUUCAAGUUGGAGAAGGACACAUCACGGUUGAGGAGGGUCAUGUCUAUUUCCAUCAAACAAGCUCUCCAGACAGACCCAGCCUCAGUGCAGUGGAAGAUACAGUAUUUCCUCAAAAUACCCAGUGUCACUGACCACAAGGGCCAUCCUAUUGGAAAGGUAUUACUAUGUUAUUACUAUACUAUGACCAUGGGAUCUAUUGCAUUGGACUCUGUUUAGGCUACACAACUAGUGUCUGUAUGUCUGUUCGGUACACAGAUCUAAUAAAUCCUUGAGCUCUUGAAAUUCCC